rnacentral:rRNA from 1 species
UACGUAGGGUGCAAGCGUUAAUCGGAAUUACUGGGCGUAAAGCGUGCGCAGGCGGUGAUGUAAGACAGGUGUGAAAUCCCCGGGCUUAACCUGGGAACUGCAUUUGUGACUGCAUCGCUGGAGUGCGGCAGAGGGGGAUGGAAUUCCGCGUGUAGCAGUGAAAUGCGUAGAUAUGCGGAGGAACACCGAUAGCGAAGGCAAUCCCCUGGGCCUGCACUGACGCUCAUGCACGAAAGCGUGGGGAGCAAACAGG